rfam:Schistosoma mansoni, Puerto Rico, WGS project CABG01000000 data, contig: 0034
AUUCAGCUGACGAGUCCUAAAUAGGACGAAACGCGCGUCCUGGAU